rnacentral:rRNA from 1 species
AAUACGGAGGUGGCAAGCGUUGUUCGGAAUUACUGGGCGUAAAGGGCGCGUAGGCGGGGAGGUAAGUCGGGUGUGAAAUCCCUCGGCUCAACCGAGGAACUGCGCCCGAGACUGCCUCUCUUGAGUCCCGGAGAGGAAGGUGGAAUUCCCGGUGUAGCGGUGAAAUGUGUAGAGAUCGGGAGGAACACCGGUGGCGAAGGCGGCCUUCUGGACGGUGACUGACGCUGAGGCGCGAAAGCGUGGGGAGCAAACGGGA